GAAAUGCGAUAAGUAAUGUGAAUUGCAGAAUUCAGUGAAUCAUCGAAUCUUUGAACGCACCUUGCGCUCCUUGGUAUUCCGAGGAGCAUGCCUGUUUGAGUGUCGUGAUAUUCUCAACCUUACUGGCUUUGUUUGAUACAAGGCCAGUCAGGCUUGGAUUCUGGGAGCUUGCUGGCUCUAUUGAUUCAGCUCUCCUUAAAUACAUUAGCAAGAUCAAUCAGUGACUUUAUUUAUGAUAUGAUAAUUAUCUAUAUCACUAAUAACACUGCAAGGAAAGAUCWAGCUGCUAACUGUCUUUUAAGACAAAUUUCAUUGAACACUUUGACCUCAAAUCAGGUAGGACUACCCGCUGAACUUAA
rnacentral:rRNA from 1 species